rnacentral:rRNA from 1 species
UACGGGGGGAGCAAGCGUUGUUCGGAUUUACUGGGCGUAAAGGGCGCGUAGGCGGUCACUACAAGUCAGCUGUGAAAUCUCCGGGCUUAACUCGGAACGGUCAGCUGAUACUGUCGGACUAGAGUACAGAAGGGGCAACUGGAAUUCUCGGUGUAGCGGUGAAAUGCGUAGAUAUCGAGAGGAACACCUGCGGCGAAGGCAGCCCCCUGGGCUGAGAUUGACGCUCAGGCACGAAAGCGUGGGGAGCAAACAGG